AUUGAACGCUGGCGCCAUGCCUUACACAUGCAAGUCGAACGGCAGCACGGGUGCUUGCACCUGGUGGCGAGUGGCGAACGGGUGAGUAAUACAUCGGAACAUGUCCUGUAGUGGGGGAUAGCCCGGCGAAAGCCGGAUUAAUACCGCAUACGAUCUACGGAUGAAAGCGGGGGACCUUCGGGCCUCGCGCUAUAGGGUUGGCCGAUGGCUGAUUAGCUAGUUGGUGGGGUAAAGGCCUACCAAGGCGACGAUCAGUAGCUGGUCUGAGAGGACGACCAGCCACACUGGGACUGAGACACGGCCCAGACUCCUACGGGAGGCAGCAGUGGGGAAUUUUGGACAAUGGGCGAAAGCCUGAUCCAGCAAUGCCGCGUGUGUGAAGAAGGCCUUCGGGUUGUAAAGCACUUUUGUCCGGAAAGAAAUCCUUGGCCCUAAUACGGUCGGGGGAUGACGGUACCGGAAGAAUAAGCACCGGCUAACUACGUG
rnacentral:rRNA from 1 species